rnacentral:rRNA from 1 species
AGUGAACGCUGGCAGUAGGCCUAACACAUGCAAGUCGAACGGCAGCACAGGAGAGCUUGCUCUCUGGGUGGCGAGUGGCGGACGGGUGAGGAAUACAUCGGAAUCUACUCUGUCGUGGGGGAUAACGUAGGGAAACUUACGCUAAUACCGCAUACGACCUACGGGUGAAAGCAGGGGACCUUCGGGCCUUGCGCGAUUGAAUGAGCCGAUGUCGAUUAGCUAGUUGGCGGGGUAAAGGCCCACCAAGGCGACGAUCCGUAGCUGGUCUGAGAGGAUGAUCAGCCACACUGGAACUGGGACACGGUCCAGGCUCCUACGGGAGGCAGGAGUGGGGAAUAUUGGACAAUGGGCGCAAGCCUGAUCCAGCCAUACCGCGUGGGUGAAGAAGGCCUUCGGGUUGUAAAGCCCUUUUGUUGGGAAAGAAAUCCAGCUGGCUAAUACCCGGUUGGGAUGACGGUACCCAAAGAAUAAGCACCGGCUAACUUCGUGCCAGCCGCCGCGGUAA